rnacentral:lncRNA from 1 species
ACCAUGAGGUUGCAGGUUCCAUCCCUGGCCUCGCUCAGUGGGUUGAGGAUCCGGCAUUGCCGUGAGCUGUGGUGUAGGCUGCAGACUUGGCUUGGAUCCCGGGUUGCUGUGGCUCUGGUGUAGGUCAGCUCCGAUUGGGCUCCUAGCCUGGGAACCUCCAUAUGCUGCGGGUUCGGCCCCCAAAAAUGGCAAAAAAGACAAAAAAAAAAAAAAGUGCAUGAAAAAAUUGGGAAAAAAAAAGUGCAGAGUUCCCGUUGUGGCUCAGGGGAAAUGAAUCUGAUUAGCAUUCAUGAGGACACAGGUUUGAUACCUGGCCUAACUCAGUGGGUUAAGGAUCUGGCAUUGCCGUGAGCUGUGGUGUAUGUAGGUUGCAGACACAGCUCGGAUCCCACGUUGCUGUGGCUGUGGUGUAGGCUGGCAGCUGUAGCUCCAAUUUGACCCCUAGCCUGGGAACCUCCAUAUGCCAAAGGUGUGGCCCUAAAAAGAAAAAAAGAAUUGGAAAAAAAUAAAACGUUUAAGAAGGUUAAAAAAAAAAAGAGAAAGAAACAGAAACAGAAGUGCCUGGCGAGGAUGUUCAUGAAGGGUCCCCGGGGGCCGUGGGAGGGGAUGCUCUGAAAGUCGUGUCCAGGAUCUGACCUUGGAGGGGGAGGGGCAGGAAGAGGAAAGCCAACUUUCUGCAAGCCUCGGGUGUGGCUGUCCUGUGUCCUCACCACCCUGCAGCCGUGCCUGGCCCGCAGAGGGCGGGGUCAUCAGGGGGUAGGUGGGGAGACCCAGCAGAGCCCAACAGCUGAGUUUUGGCUUCUGCCUGUUUUCAGAGACCUGGAGGCGAAACUGUGUGUUGAAGAUGCCCAGAGGCAGUGUGGGAAUUUGCAGAGGGAUUGGAGAGGGAGCUCCAGAUAUUACAGCGUUGGCCUCAAGGAACGAGCUCUCUGAAGGCGGCAGGAUCAUCGUGUCAGCCUUAUUUCUUCGAUCGUGGCUCUCUCGUGCACCAGUUGCUGUACCAACCGCCCUGAUUUUAUGGCCAGCCUUAGACAUGUGAGAUUCCAAUUGACUGUGAGGCCCUGGAGGCGCCGGCAGGCAGGUGCCUGCCCACAGCAGCAGGGCGCCCUUAUUUUCCAGCCCGCCUCUCAAGGACAAACGUAAACCCUCCAAGAACACCGGUGGAGGGGCGGCCCUCUGAGUGCCUGGAAUCAUUGUUAGUAUCCUCAGAAUAC